CGCCUGCGCAGCAGCGUCCCGGCGCGCGCGGGCGCGCGGACCGCGGGGUUAGGAGAGGUGGAGCGCCGGGAGGGCGCGCGGCUGGAGGCGACCGCCGUAACGGCGCGAGCGUGGUCACGUGGCCGCUGGUCACCGCCGCCACCCCCUCCUGCCCUGUUCUCUCUCAGGUCGGCCCGGGCCCGGUCGGUUCCGCGAGCGCACGGCACAGACUGAGAGAGAGAGAAAAGAGGAGGGGGAGGAGCAGGAGGAGAAAUCAGGGAAUAGGAGCUGGGGAGCCCUUCUGCGCCACAGGAAAUUUCUGAUGAAUUGGUGAAGAUAGGAAAGCUGUUCAGAACGUGGUAACACUUCUGUACUCUCCCAGGCAGUGGAAGGUGGCACAAGUGUUUGGGCUCUGCACCUACAUGGGAGUCCUACAUAGAGUUCCAGACUCCUGGCUUGGGCCUGGCCCAGCUUCCGCCAUUGUCACCAUUUAGGGAGUGAACCAGGGGCUGGAAGGUCUGUGUUUUUCCUCUCUCUCUGCCUUUCCAAAAUAAUAAUAAUAAUAAUAGGAAAUGAAAAUCAUGAGAAACUGUUUAGGGAUUUAAAAAAUCCUUCACAACAAAGUAAUAAUUCCAUUCUCCAUGAAUUUUUUAAAUUAGCGUCAUAUAUACAGAGAGAUGACUGUAACACAGGGCUGAGAUCCUGACUGUGUACUGUAGUUUAUACAGUAGAGUGCUGAGUGCUAAUCUGCAUGUCUGCAAGGUAGCAUAACGGUUCUAGGUGAAGAGUCAAAACCUAUAAGCCCAACUUUCUCAGCCUUGCAGGAGGA